GGAUGUGAGGGCGAUCUGGCUGCGACAUCUGUCACCCCAUUGAUCGCCAGGGUUGAUUCGGCUGAUCUGGCUGGCUAGGCGGGUGUCCCCUUCCUCCCUCACCGCUCCAUGUGCGUCCCUCCCGAAGCUGCGCGCUCGGUCGAAGAGGACGACCAUCCCCGAUAGAGGAGGACCGGUCUUCGGUCAAGGGUAUACGAGUAGCUGCGCUCCCCUGCUAGAACCUCCAAACAAGCUCUCAAGGUCCAUUUGUAGGAGAACGUAGGGUAGUCAAGCUUCCAAGACUCCAGACACAUCCAAAUGAGGCGCUGCAUGUGGCAGUCUGCCUUUCUUUU